AAGGGAGCCUGCGGAGCCCCGGGAGGAGAAGGAAGGGCCGGGAGAGCCCCGGGCUGAAGGGCACGGGCAGCUCCGGAGCUGCUGCCGAUAAGGACGCCACGGCCUCCGGCCCCUUAGAAAAUACACACCGGGACUAGUUCUGCGAUUUAAAAGUGAUUUAUUUUCUCCGAUUAAGCAUUUAAGGUUCCGUUUGGGUUUUUAUCUGUAGAAUCGUACAAACAACGAUUUUCCUCAGCGGAACGAAGGAAAUAAUUUUCAUGCAUAACGGUGACUUUAUGAUGCCUGCAUCCCCAGUUGCCUGUUCUGCUUAUGCUGGAUAUUAAGUUCUGCACCUUAAAGACUGGUUCUGAGAGUGAAGCGGGGGAAGAAGCAGCAUGCAGUUUGUCUGUAGAAACUGCACUUGCUGCCUGCCAUUCCUUCUCACAGACUGUCUGCAGCACUGACAGUGACAGAGAGCUCUCCUUCUCUUUUAGUUAGUUUUUUUUCCAGUUAACUGAGGCCAGAAGGUUUUUGGAACUGCUCAGCUAUUGUUCAGUCCAGGAACACCAGGACUAUUGUCUGGGGGCCUCCAAGCCACACUGCGGCCGGGACACCGGACCAGAGCCCUGGAGAGACUGACAGAAAGCCCAGGACACACCCAUGAAAAGGACUCUGACUGCAAGAGGACUUUCUGGAUUUGCCAUCUCUCCAGAACAACGAGACGUUUCGUUAUUUAAUAUUAUUCAUUUUUUCAUGUUUGUGAGUACUCUGCUUGUCAAAUAAACAGUUUUUUCCACUUU